UCUCUCUUGCCGCCACAAUGUAAGAAUUGUCUCUCACCCUCUGCCAUGUAAGAAUUUUCUUUCACCCUCUGCCAUGAUCGUGAGACCUUCACCAGCCAUGUGAAACUUUUUCAGCUUUCCUCCACUGUUUUGGGAAACGUCACCUUCUUAUCUUGGAAGAGUAAUCUCAAAAUUGAAGCAUCUUAGAUCCAACAAGAAUUAAAAGGAUGGGAUGUCCUUGCAGCCAUCCAGUAGAGUCAGAAGACUUUGGAUUUUGGAGUCUGUGAGAUGAUGUACUCACAUCCCAACAAAUUGAAAAUGCUGACCAAUCCCAGCACAGCCAACUCGAAUUUGCUCCUUCAUCAAAGUGACCAGCACCUCAUUUCUUCCUCUUUAGAAUUUAUAGAUAUUCAAUUUGACACCCAGACAACUUUCAAGAGCUCAGUUGCUAUUCCAUCCUCUUCCUGCUGUGAUUUCAGCAUCUAAAAUUCCUCCUUAUCCUGUGAAGUGAAGCUGGGACUUUGUCAUAAGAGGAAGAAAAGGGCAAGGGAAGGGUCUGUGAGGGUGAAGAGUGCUGGAGAAUAACUCUUUCCCUGGCCCCAUCUUCCUCGGCACUACUGAUCUUCCAGGAGAAUUCUAAGACUUUUGGCAUAUAAGCAUCAUCUGACUCCUGGAUAAUCUCAGGCAUUUCUGAAUAGCAUGUUACCUGCUAGGAUGAGCCGUUGCUACACUAAUAUACUGUCUUUGAACCAAAUUUCCCCAUGUUGUCAGCAUUGUACAUUCCUCAACUGCAAGGAUCUUCUACUAAUUCAGAGAAUCAUUGAUGGGAGUUUGCUUUAUUACUUAGUUAUGCACUAGCAAAGAGACCUAGUUAAAAACAAAUGGAGGAGUAUACCAUGGUAUUACAGGGAAUACCUCUCGAAUACCCAGUAUAUUUGUGUGACAUGCAGUUUCCUUGGUAACUCACAGAAUCCGGAGCAGGAGGCACCGUGAACCUGUUCCCACAGAGAUAGAGGACGGUGGUUGUAGGAGUCUAUAGUUUCUUCUCCACAUUGCUGAAAUACAUAGAAAGAUUGCUCCUAGCCUACUUUUAUACCUAUGCAAUAGAGAGAAAAUCACUAGAAGAAAACUCUUCUGACAGCAUGACUCUACAUUCAAAUAUUCAGAAGGAUGAGUUGUAUGAUUUACAUUAAUAUUCACUAGUCAGAGAUUUGCUAGAUUCUUCUUUUGGGUUCUGCCAGAUUAGAUACAUGUGGACAUUUUGAAGAUUCUCUAAGGGAGCAACCAAAAUGUUUCAUUUAGAAAAUCACAUUCUGUAUGGAGAAGCUAUUGGAAUAGGGAUUCUUUAACCUACAGAAAAAAAUUGGAAAGUUUCUCAAUGUCUGAAAACAGAUUUUGUUGUUUCUAGUUAUGUGAUUGGAUUGAAAUGUCAUACACAUUGAAGUGUUCAUGGUACUUAGGAUCUCACACACACACACACACACACACACACACACACACACACACACAUAUGUUUCCCCUUUGGUGGGGAAGGGGUAUUGAUAAUAAAGACAAGAAAAAAAAAAGAUGAGAACUCCUGGAACUUGAAGAACAAUAAAAACCUCAUACUGAUUAAUUAAGAAUGAUAGCUUGAAGAUUUUCUUUUAAGUCUCUAGUUUCCUUUAUGACCUAAGGGGAGGAUUUUAGCCUCAUCCUUUACCUGAUGGAGUAAACAUCUCAAUUCUAGCUUACAGUGACCCUGCAGAUUUUGUAUUAUAUAAGACUGCCUCACUUAAGUCUGCUUCAUAUGGGAAGAUAGACUGAAUAUUUUGUUCAGGAAAUUGAUUGGAAGUAGCUUGGGGCCAGUUCUUGCUUGUCAAUCAUGUUUUUGUGUUUUUAAGAUAAUACAUCUGUUUUUUCCUUCUUAGCCUCUGACUAAUAGAUGAUCAUAAAAUUGAAAAACAACUGAAAUUAUGUGUAGCAGCAAGCUUAGUUAUAUUAAGCAUGUAUGAGAAACGUGCCAACUUACAAGGACUCAAUGUGAGGUGUUUGUGUGGCAAUUCAACAAUAUCGAUUUAUUCUGAAGGAAUUGAGGUCAGCUAUGGAAAAGCAAUUCAAUGGCCAGAAAACUAUUUCCAGUAUUUUCUUAGUAAAGAGUGCAUCUCUUCUUUGUAAAGAGAGGAACAUGUUAUUUUUAGUAAUUUGAGAACUAGUGCAACAAGAAAAUACAAAACUGGAGAAUCCCAUGAGGUGGUGGAUAAAUGAAGCUCUGUUACACCCAGUCUUACCUUAUGGAGCACUGUUCAUCCAUAUCUGGCCUGCCUCAGCUGACAGGGUUGCUACAACAUUCUCAAGACAUGAGUGGUAUUUCCCAUAAAAUACCCAUUUACAAGCACAAUUCUGUUUCCUACUUUCCUCCUGUACUGACACUCACUAGGUUGUGUGGCACCUGACUGUUUGUGCCCUUCUGAGUUUUUGUUCAUCCUCUUUCCUUCCAGCCUACCUCCUCCCUCCUUCUGAAUUAAAUUCCUUCUUUGUCUAGCUAAAUAGCUAUGUUAAAAGGCAGAAAGAAUAAACUUGAACCAUAGAGAAAAAAAUAUUUUAUGAGAACAGUGAUAGGUUUAACACAUCCAUAAACGGAAAUGAUUUUCACAACUGAGGGUUAUAACUAAACAUGUGAUGGGUCUGAAGACUCCUGAAGCAAUGCAUUUGGAAGUAUUGAAGCAGGGACCCUUGUAAGAGCUACACAAAUGCUGCGUAACUCACCAUGCUACUUAAUGGAGUACAAUAGAAACUCUCUUUAAGUGCCGCUAAAUUCCCUUAUUACAAAAUGGUUUUACAUAUGAAUUGAAUGAGAACUUCUCCCGGAGACUGAAAAUCAGGGGGAAAUGAGACUGGGAAUGAUUCAUUCCAUCAUUCCAUAGAUGGAAUGAAUACUAAAUAUUUCUUUUUAAAAUGAAGAUGUACUAAGAUAAUGACAUCUGCCAUCUUGAUUUUGAGAGAAACAACAUGAAAUCAUUACAGGACAUGGAAUUUUGGAAGAAAAUUCUUACUACCGUGCUAUGGUCCAAAUGUUUGUGUCUCCUCAAAAUUAAUAUGUUGAAAUUCUAUUCUCAAGUCAAUGGUAUUAGGAGUUGGGGCUUUGGGGAGGUGAUUAGGUUAUAAGGAUAGAGUUCUCAUGAGUGGGAUUAGGGCUUUUAGAAACGAGACCCCAGAGAGCUUGUUCAACCCUUCAGCCGUGUGGGGUUACCCUGAGAAGACAGUCUUCUAUGAGGAAGUGUGUCAUCCCCAGAUGGUGAAUCUGACAGUGCCUUUGUGUUAGAAUUUCCCACCUCCAGAACUGUGAGAGAUAAAUUUCUGUUGUUUGUAAGCCACUCAGUCUAUAGUCGUUUGCUAUAGCAGAUCAAAUGAAUUAAGACAUAACCGUCAUUGUUUGACUGGCAUCUUUUCAGUGCAAAAACAGAAAUUUCACUGGGAUUGUUUUCAAUGUGGGAGUUUAAAAUUACUGCCCGUAUAUGCUAAUGGUAGCAAGUAAAUGGGAGGCUGUAACAUUUUGACUCAAAACCUGUAGAAUAGAAAAUAAUAGAUAUUUGGGUGCUUGGCUUGAAAAUUGAAAACUGUGAAUAAACCAUGAUUUUUUUUUUUUUUUUUUUUGCUGGGCACAGUGACUCGCGUCUGUAAUCUCAGCACUUUGGGAGGCCCAGGUAGGCAGAUUGCUUGAGUCCAGGAGUUCAAGACAAGCCUGGGCAACAUAGCAAGACACCAUGUUAAAAAAAUACAAAAAUUAGCCGGGCAUGGUAGCACGUGCCUGUGGUCCCAGCUACUUGGGAGGCUGAGGUGGGAGAAUAGCUUGAGCUUGGGAGACAGAGGCUGCAGUGAACCAAGAUCGCAGCACUGUACUCUACCAUUGCUAUCUAGCCUGAGUGACAGAGCAAGACCCUGUCUC